CGUGUAGGCGGGAAUACAAGUCAGAUGUGAAAUACUGUGGCUCAACCACAGAACGGCAUCUGAAACUGUAUUUCUUGAGUACUGGAGAGGAAAGCGGAAUUCCUAGUGUAGCGGUGAAAUGCGUAGAUAUUAGGAGGAACACCGGCGGCGAAGGCGGCUUUCUGGACAGUAACUGACGCUGAGACGCGAAAGCGUGGGGAGCAAACAGGAUUAGAUACCCUGGUAGUCC
rnacentral:rRNA from 1 species